UACAGAGGGUGUACAGCGUUAAUCGGAGUUACUGGGCGUAAAGGGCGCGUAGGCGGUUUGAUAAGUAAGAUUUGAAAUCCCCGGGCGUAACCUGGGAACUGGAUCUUAAACUGUUGGACUAGAGUGCAGUAGAGGGUGGUGGAAUUUCCGGUGUAGCGGUGAAAUGCGUAGAGAUCGGAAGGAACAUCAGUGGCGAAGGCGACCACCUGGACUGAAACUGACGCUGAGG
rnacentral:rRNA from 1 species